GCAUUGGAUGGUUCAGUGGUAGAAUUCUUGCCUGCCAGGCGGGAGGCCUGGGUUCGAUUCCCGGCCAAUGCA